CCUCUCCCUCUCCUAAUCUCGUUUCCAUUCUCAUGGGCUGCAACAAGUUCUUAACCCUAAAAGGUAUCUCUCUCUCUCUCUCUCUCUCUCUCUCUCUCUCUCUCUCUCUCCCUUCUCCUGUCAAUCUCUCUUCCUCUCGAUCGGACCGCUAGCUAUGCUCAACUACAGCAACUUGGUAACCCAUCUCCGCACACAGGGGGUCUGAAUCCAUUGAGUGCAUUAACGAACGGGGUUGAGAUAAAGGCCACAAUAUGAAAUGGGAAUGAACUGAAGGGCUACUCCAUUGAACUGAAGGCCACAAGUGUUCGGUUUAUGUGAUUGAAUAAGUGAAGAUAAAGAUAGUGUGAGGUUUAAUCAUGAGAGAUGUGGAGGCAACACGCAGAAUUUAGGAACUCCCUCCACUCUGCACUCCCUUCCAUAAGCCUCAGCCUAUUUUGAACCCAACACGACCCCUUCAUUUCUUCAUGCACUAUAGUCUAUCAACCAAUUCUCAUCAAAAGAAGAUACAAUUUGACUUGAAGGUGGCCGUAGUUUGAGUUGCCUAGAACUUGAUCAAGUACAUAUGUAAGUUACCAAGGUUUAAAGGGCUCAGAUUGUGUCAGUUUUCAUGAUUCUUGCAGAUACCCAAUCAAUCUCUCUUUCCUUUUUUUCUUUAUUUUUUUAUUUAAGCCUAGACCAGAUUAUUGUUGUACUUCUUCAGGUGCUUAUAUUUUUCAACCACCAUUUCUCUAAAUUCUCACCUUAUGAAAUUAAUGUGUUUGACUUGGCAGGAAAGACAGGAACUGAAGAUUCAAUAAGUUCGAUAUAUUCCUUUGUUUA